GGGAUCACAUCCCCGGAAUUUUGCCCAUGAACUCCGCGCUCCCCUCCGCUUUAGCACCUUGUGUUACAUUCGCGUUAUUUUGCUCCGAAAUCUCUUGGACAGUGUACAUGUUGUAUUUAAAACCUCUGUAUUUAUGCUAGAAGACCGCAAGCAUGCCGAUCGAGAAAGCGGAUGUUUCUGAGCUUAAAAGAUCUGGUACUUUACACUUCAUGUCGGUGAGUCAUUCCAGGCAGCGCCACACCGGUUCAGUGACACGGACUGCAUGUCAAUGGAAAACCCGUAUAUAUGUUUUGGAGAAUCUGUCUUUUUUUCCUCUGGACUUAACCGGUCUCCUAAACUGGUUGUUUUCUGAGAGAGUGAAAAAGAAGGAGAGAGAUAGAGACAGGCAUGAACUACAGACUGAAAAUAAGAUGACAGUCAUAUUCUUCUGUCGGGGGAUGAACUUCAGGACAAUUGGAGCGAUAGAGAGAGAGCGCACAGAAGGACCUGAAUGCCACAAAGCAAAUGAAGGAUAGCUCAUGGACAUACAAACUGUUUGUACUUUUUUCAACACCGUCUUGCUUGUGUAUUGCUCCUGUGAAAAUAAUAUAUUGUGAUAUUGUUAAUUAUGACAUUUUUUUUCAAACUGCUACUUUAUUUAUGUAUGAGACUGCGGCAGUAAUAAUUUACGGCUUUAAAGCUCUCUAACCGUAUGAAUGAACACCCAGGGGUGCGUCGUGGUGCCCUCUACUCGCCGUUAACCUGCACAGAGUUGCCCUUUUCUGAGGCCAGGAGCAGAAUGAGGUGGUGAAACCACACAGACUCUGUCUUAAUAUCCGGCGAGAGCGUCGAUGAUCUUAAAUGAUGUAUUUUGACACGUUCAAGGGCUGGAGAAGUUUAAUACUGCCACAAUCACAGCCGACGUCUCGCUCUCAGUUACACGGGGUCCGUGUGCCAUAGUGGACAGCUUUGUGUGUCGUGGGUGGGCGGGUGUUACUGUGCCCUCACCUGUGACGCUAGGGAGCAUCAGAGAGGGCGCUGCACCCCUACGGGCGCACAGGCGGACGGAGCCAGACGAUCGGCGGCGCAGAUGUUACCCCUGCACCCACCACAACCCUGACGGAGAGCCGUGUGAAGCUGGGCUCGCACGCCGACUCUGAUUUCUCUUCUUGAAGAAGAAGAAGGUGUGAAUUUUGAUGAAGAUUCCAGGUGAAGAGGUACACUGCGCUUCCCCAAAGGCCGGACUGAGAUCUGAUCAGGCUUUGAACUGGAAAAUAACGUCACGCCCUGUUCCCCCAGGCUGCACCUCUUCACCGGGGGAAAAGCCAAAGACGACUGCAAGUGUUUAUUUCUCUCUGCCUGAUUUUUUUUCCCACACUUUUUCUUUCUGAUUGUAAAUCUCCAAAAUCCUCCCUGAACCCAAAACAUAAUCCAGCCGGUGCCUCUCCUACUCACAGACAGCUAGACGAGAUUAGGACACACCUUGUUAUCUACCGGUCUAUAGGCUAAAUCAGUGCUGUUUUAUUUCAUCGCUACCCCUACAGAUUAGUGAUGUGUAACAUACAGAUCAUGUAUUUAGGGUUUACUUAAUUUGCUGUGACGCUAAAGCCUUUGCUUUGCAUGCGUUGGCCCCGGAGCUUCGUAAAAUGAAUCCAUCCAUCUGUCAUUCAUCUGCUGAGGAAACUCCUCAGACAAUGGACUGAUGUCCGGAAACCUUGGGGAAUCCCUUACUCCGAGCCAGGCCCCCCCACGCCCCCACCCAGACACGUGCAUCUUUUUAAAUGUUGUUUACACUCCACAGCUUUAAUUUUGUUUUUAUACUUAUCAUUUGAACACAUUUGAAAAGCUGUCACAUAAUUUGUCUGCUUGAGUUUUACAGGAUUAUGUUGUUUGGUAACUUAUUUUGCCUGUAUAAAACGUCAGUAUUUAUUGUCACUGUAAAUAAGUUGUUAUUUUUAUAUAUAUAUAAAUAUAAAUAAAGGUAGGGAUGACAUCCGU